rnacentral:rRNA from 1 species
UCGGCUCAUCACAUCCUGGGGCUGAAGUAGGUCCCAAGGGUAUGGCUGUUCGCCAUUUAAAGUGGUACGCGAGCUGGGUUUAGAACGUCGUGAGACAGUUCGGUCCCUAUCUGCCGUGGGCGUUGGAUGAUUGAUUGGGGCUGCUCCUAGUACGAGAGGACCGGAGUGGACGCAUCACUGGUGUUCCAGUUGUCUCGCCAGAGGCAUUGCUGGGUAGCUAAAUGCGGAAGAGAUAAGUGCUGAAAGCAUCUAAGCACGAAACUUGCCAAGAGAUGAGUCAUCCCUGACUUUAAGUCAGUAAGGGUUGUUGUAGACUACGACGUAGAUAGGUCAGGUGUGUAAGUGUAGUGAUACAUUGAGCUAACAGAUACUAAUUGCCCGAGAGGCUUAACUAUACAACGCUCAAG